CUAAAAUCUCGCUAGACAGAAAAGGCGUCGUGGAAACAUCCACAGGCGGAUUACACUGUACCAUGUAGAUGGCUCAACAUAAUGUAUAAGGUUAUAAUAAGAUCCUGAUUGCCUACAAGUGUACCGACUUUCUGCUAUCUCCUAUCUGACUUCCUGAGUUUGGAUCCCCUGACUUCUGGACACAGAGAUCCAAGUGCCACUGGCCUCGGCCUUGGUUCGCCGGUGUCACCGGGCCUGGAGGCGGGCCCGCCUGGUCUUGCUCCGCUCCGUCCAGUCCUAUGAGAAGUGGGCCAACGUCCAUCGGUCCCAGAGUCCCACUUAUCUACCCAGCCAGAAGGUCUGGCUGUCUGCCCGUGACCCUCCACUCUGGACGGUGUAGGGUAGGGUUUGUCUUACCAUGCUAACCCUGAGAGACGAGGCAGUCCAAGUAACU